UGCCACCAGAACACCUAAUAGACUGUCAGUUUGAAUGUUUAAAUGAGACACAGCAAGGGAGGGGAAAAUGCUUUUAACAAAAGAAUGGUAGACUAGGAAAAAAAAAAACCCAGCUUCACUGACAAGGUAACUGGAGAUGUAGCACUUGCAAUAGAAGGGAGGUGUUGAUGAAUGCAUUACUAACAGGUGAAAAAUGGUGCUUGGAUUAGGGCUACUAACAGGAAAUACAGAAAGCAUUUAUGGGUAUAAAAUGUAGUUGGUAAGGUAUCAGGUUGUGAUUAGAAUUACAUUAAGCAGAUUGUCUCCUCUGUAGGAUUCAGUGUUGUCUUGUCUACCCUUGUGAUGACUUGUUUGAGCAAUAUUUUAAAGCUACAUCUGUGUGUGUAGUACAGAUUUGUGCAUAACUGACUCCUCCAAAUUAGUGUUUGUGCAUCUUGCAGAUGCUUUAUGCCAGUACAGGUAGGUACAUCUUCAAAACUAUACAUGGCAUUAUUUGGUUAGAGAUUCAGAACCUAAUUCCUAUAUGUCAACAGCAUCUCAAAUUGCUUUGCUCAAGAAUGAAAUGGGGAAAGGUUAGAAAUUGCAGGAAAAGUUUUGUUCUAUUUUGUGCAAGUGAUAUAGCUGAGCAUUGCCACUAUGAAAGCACAUUUGCUUUGGUACAUGUUUCUUUUUCAGUAAAGCCUAUUUCUUGAAAGCUGUGAAUUAUAUUUGAUCCUCAUUUUUUGUUUGCCACAUAUGCCAUUUCUUCCUGCCUAGAAAUUAUAAGCAAAUACUAUUUUAUUUUAUUUUAUUUUAUUUUAUUUUAUUUUAUUUUAUUUUUUAUUUUUUUUAAUAACUAAUUAUAAAUAAUGAGCUCAUACUCUGUUCAAACAGUUUCACAAAGUGGUGGGUUUCUCUUGGACUGUAUGUUUGACUGUUGUUCACUGAUGCUCAGAGAUUGGUUACAUAAAUUGCGUGUUAUUGUUUCAGUUCUAGUGGCUGACAGCAAUCAACGGUAGCCUGACAGCAGUCAGUGGUUACAAGCAGUGGGAAGGCAUUUUUGGCAUGGGUAGGAAAGCACUGCGUAAUCAGAAAUGAGAAGUCUGCUGGAGGAAAAGUUAUCCUCCAAGAUGUAUGGGUAUGAACUUUUGUUCCUAUGUGUACAGAAAUGUGUGUGAAAAGGAACAUACACGGAAUACAUCAUGCAUUGGGAAUUAUGAGAAAAGUAUAUGGGAUCUAAACCGGAUAGAGGAAACUUGGACACAAGUCUAACCAAGAAGCAAAGUUGUUAAAACAUAAAGCUUCUAGGCUGUUUCUGUUCCAAAGAAAAAUGUUUUAUCUUCAUUUCCAGAAUAAUAUGCUCUUCUAGUGUGUGCUUCAGACUGAGUAAUGGAUGUGAGUAGAAUAGUAUCAGAGAAGAUGGAGAAGCAUCCCUUUGUCUUGCAGCUGGAACUGCGGCAUUUCAUUGCCUUGGAAGUCUCCUUGUGGUAGGGAAAAAUGGUAUACUGAUGAACUGGUAAUGCCUUUGCCUCCAUGGAUGUGGGCAACACACAGAAACAUAAACAUUUUCUUAUCAACAUGAUCAUAACUUUGAAGAAUGAUCUUUGCUGUUAAGGCAGACAAACCAAAUGUUUCCCUAUAAAUAAGUGAAGAUACCAUUUUUUUUAAUGUGUAAUGGUUUUGGGGAAUAUUUGCAUAUAGACAAUGUUUUAUGAUUUACAUGUAGUUAGGAGAUGUGGUAUCUGCAUAAAAUCUAUAUUUACAAUGAAUUGAAGAUGUGCAUCUCCAUUUCUUUCUGUGCAUCGGUUGGUAUAUUUUCUUCAUUCAUAUUAGGGAGUUGUGUGAUCAAAAUUUGCUGAACUGUGGUUUAUAGCAGACAAUUAACAGCUGUUAAAUAGGAUUAUUGCAGGCUGUUAUCUUCACAUAGCAUUGAUUCAAAUGCUAAUUUCACUCAAUUUACUGCUCAUAAGGCUACCCUACUGCCAGGUACACUGCACUCAUGAUGAAUGACAAAAUUUAUCUGAAAAGAAUGUAACCUAUUUAAAAUAUGUAUCAGUAGAUUUUUUUGGCCCGGUUUGCAACUCCUUGACACAGGUGAGAAUGCUGUGCAUAGCAGGAAGAUGUAGAGUCAGGCUUAGCCCAACAGAACUGCGAGAAAAUGACAUUACCUUGUACUUCUUUGGCUGUGAUUAUAAACGCUAUUUUGGUAAUGAAAACAAAUCAUGCUUUUUACCCUUUGAUUGGUUCACCUCUUAAAGAAUGCCACUCAUGCUGGGAGAUACAGUAGAGUAAGAGUAAUCUUUGACUGGUGUGCUGUGUCUUAAUGCUGCACACCCUAAGAACCGUAGUUUAAAAUUCAAAGUACACCUUUUUCAUGUGAAGUUAACUAUAAUUUCCUUCUUCCUAUCAACCUUUUCUUCUUCACAUAGUGCAGAAAUAGCCAACAGCAGAUGCUUCACUCUUUCCAGGUUAACUUCAGGAUUCAGCAAUAAUUUUCUAAGCUUUGCUGUUGGGAUGAUGUUGUUAUGGGAAGAAAAUAUUCCCCUUCCUCCCCUUUACUGUAUAUUUCUGCUGUCAGCCUUCAGCUGACAGUAGCAGUUGUACAUAUUGAUCCAAUCUGACAGGAAAAUAAUGCCUCAGAAAGACAUUUCUGGCGAAAUAGGUUCCCUGCCUUAGGUCUCUAUGCAGCCACAAGGCAGUCAGUAAGAAAGUACAGGGGUUGGGCAUUGGGAUUGUUGGUUUGGAGCUGUACAGGUUUAGACUGGCCCCUCAGAACCAGCUGGAAAGUUAUAACCUUAAGCUGUGAUUUCUCAUUAAAUUUUGUUUCAUCUUUACAGAUGGUAUAUGUGGUCCCUUGGUACCCACUCUAAGAUCUUGGCAAUUUUUCUUUGACUGCUCCUACACAAAGGAAUACUGGGUAUUUUAAAGGAGAGCUUGCAAAGUUUAUGCAGAAAAAUUAUAUAUUAAAUGUUAUUCUUCUUGCCUUUAAUGCUUAUGAAGGCAGCAAGAUACUGUUAAGAGGUAUUUCUCUUAGGUUCAACUUCUUUGCUGUUGUGCCUGUUGUUUGGUAAAUCCCUACAUAUACUGGUCAGUCAAUACUGUCAAAUGUUGCAUAAGAAGAAUAUGAACUACUGUCUGAUUAGGAGUGAAAUGAAGAAAGAAAAAAGACUGCCUUGCACUUUCAGAUUUGUUGUCUUACAGUGUCUAUGGGGAAAAUUAUCUUUCAUAUUUAAACAUACAAAAAAGUAUGUAUAAAGCAAUGAGCUUCCUGCUACUGCAGUGAAAGGCCAUGUAAUAAAAUGGGAUAUAUUAUGAAUUC